UGUUUAAGAAGAGGUGGCUCCGAGAUGUCCACCGAUAUCUACCUUUCAGAUCAACCUGUGAGCUUGAGGCAUUCCACAACCACAUGCUUAUGUAUGCCAGCAAGCGGUUCAGCUAUUCACCGAUGGUGUACGAGGCAAGAACUCUCCUGGCAGCCCUGGAUUACAACCACCAUAAGGAUAGACCACCACUGCUAAACAAAAAGGGGGAAAAGAUGUAAGAAUAUCAUAAUUUAACAUGCCAUACUUCCACAAAAGGUACUAGCACGCUUUCGUAGAGUGUUUCAGAAAAAAACAGGGAGAUGGACAGUACAUGCUUUGAAGGCAAAGAAGGACUACAGCUACAUACCAGAUCUACAGGCAGCAAUUCUGAAUGAAAGGUUACAGGCUGACAAGGGGAUGCCAAGGCGUCGGACUCUAAGACCAGAGGAUCCACGGAGACUAGGCCUACUUCCAAACGUUACGCCUCCACCUAUUGAAACUAUUCUAGAGUCCCAUGUCAAUAGAGGGAUAGGUAUGUCCAUUAAAUUAUCAUUUGCUUAGUAGUGCAUAGUAGCUGAUAAGAUAUUUGUUACAGGCUAAUAAUUUGUGAUAGUUGAUAUGAUCCGUA